rnacentral:lncRNA from 1 species
UAGAGAGAGAGAGAGAGAGAGAGAGAGAGAGAGAUAGAUAGAGAGAGACCCUUUUAUUUUUUUUAAUUAUUAAAAUAAAUAAAUUAGUAUUGGAUUUAAAAUAAAGGAAAGAAAAAUGGAAAAUAAAUAUCCCAAGGGUAUUAAAUUCAUUUCACUAUUCAGAAGGACCAAAAACGCAACAGAACUAGCUCAAAAAGACCAGCAAUCAAAAAAAGUCAUGGUUUGGACUAAAACCCCAAAAAAAUGCAUACCAUAAGGACCAUUUUUGUCAUUUUGUCCUAUAUAUAUAUAUAUAUAUNCACUAGCCGUUUACCCGCGCUAAGUGACGGGUGUGAAUUGUUUUUUCAAAAAUUAAUUUCUAGACACGAUUAGUUCUUUUGCUCAAUGAACGUUUAGAAAACAUUUAGAAAAUAAUGAACUCUUUAUUUUUAAUGACAUCUAAAGGAUUAAUAAAUUUUCUAUAAAAAUAAUCCAUAAAUACACUAAGUUAGGUUAAAAUACAACCAAAUUCAACCUCAAACAUAGUAAAUAAUAACAUCAUGAAUCAGAGUUCGUUGCAGUCUUUUGGUGGAUUAUUUUGUGCAAGAUAGAUUUUUCUGGAAAAUAAUUACUGAGUGGCGAUUGAUUUUCUUGUGGCAGCCUAUUUCGAAUUAAAAUCAAGUGUAUGUUGGGUUUUGGGUUAGAAAGUAUGUUUUCAUCCAACAAUUUGUUUGGUGUGCGUUCAAUCCCCUUCUAUUUUUUUUCUUUAGAAAUUGAAAAUCUCAUUUCAUUUUGUUUGUUAAGAUCAAGUGGAUAAUAAAGAUUAUCUAACUGUGUAUUUAAAGUUUUAAACUGCAUUUUUAUAUGUUUGUUCUUAAAAACUGAAAAUUCUAAAAAAAUGACAAAAAUUCAAGUAAGAAAUAAUGUGAUUCUCUUGAUACGGUUUGAGAUUAAAAUCGUUGCCUCGAAUAAUCGAUCGGAAAUUUUGCACACAAGUUAAAAUAAACAUGCGACCAUGAUGUGAAAUUUUGUUGUUUCACCAAAGUCUAUCUCAAUAAUUUAACAUACGACAUUCCAAAAUUAAACACGUACAUAUAAAAAAUAUUUAAUCAUCAUACAAUAUGGUUCUUUUGUCAUAUUUAUAUUUUUAGCGUUAUAAUAUUAGUAAAAAUAGAUUAUAUUCGAUUUUUAUUCAUUAUUUUUAUUUUAUUUAGUAACCUCUAAUCUGUCAAAAGAUAAAAAAUAUAAAAUUUUGUGUAAUUCAAAAGCAUAUUUAAGUUUUACUUUAAUUCUUUGAACUACAUAAUUUUCAAUAGCUUUUUGGCUGAUUAUUAUAGGUAAAAUAAGAUAUAUUUAGCAUCUCCAUUAAGUCAAUCAUAAAGACCAUCUUUUAAUGUAAGACCAGGUUUUUAUCUGAAAAAAUACUAACUUGUUUGCCAUAAGUUAUAGAUUUGAAUUAUCGCUAGUUUUUGCUUUUUAAUCUAUGUGACGUUCAGAUAAAAAAAAAAUAAUACAUAAAAACCUUGACCUUCCCAUGUGAUACAACGUCAUGACUAAUGACCAUUUGACCAUUAAUUGCAUUGACCAAUUGACCGUUAAUUGCUUUUAUUUUUUUAAAUCCAUCUACUUUCACAAAUAUAUAUAUAAAAAAAAUCAAGGUAUUACGAGAUGAAGCAUUUUUAUAAACAUAAAUUUAUCCAUGCAAAUGAGUUUCAUCAUUUUUCCACCAAGUGUUGCAGGCUAUUUUGGUGGAAUCCAUCUCAUAUUGUCCAUAGUACAAUUUAUUUAAUAAAUAAAUGAUUUGAACAACUAACGCCUCAUAUAUAUUUACUAUCCGGCCAAGAACAAUGAAAUGAUUUUAAUAAAACACCUAGCCAACACAAACAAAGUGUCAGUGUACAUCCAACUUAUCUAUUUCCAAACACAACUCCAAAAUCCUUCAAGCCACAUUAAAUCCUUACCAUAGCCAGUCUUUAACCCUUCAACAUUCUUCAAAUCCUUCAUAAGUCUUCUAAUUUCACAGUACAUCAACUUCAAACUGAACAUCAUUCCAUCUCUUUUAUCCAUUAUCUAUACAACAUUUAAUAUCACAUCUUUUUUCAGAUCUAACAGUAGAACAAAAAACCUAAACUCUUCAUAACUCCCUGGAAUACUUUAAGAAAUUUAGCGAUGAAGCAACAAAUCAUAUCAACUGUUGAAUGCCUACAAUUUUCUUAAAUUACCUUACCUCAUUCAACAGCAAAUAGCAAGUCCAGGUGCUUCUAUUGUCUAACAGUUAUCAAAAAUUCAUGCCAUCAGUUCCUCUCUUCAUCAUCGCUUUCUUUUCCUGCAACCAAUAAAUCCCAUGUUAGCUUGUAGCUACAAAUCUUCAUUCCAGACAUAAAGAUGAACAAAAAGAAUUGAUAUUUAAUUAUGAACAAACAAAAGACCCUUUAUCGGUUUGAUAAAACGUUUGAAAACUGAUAACUCAAAUUGCAUUCAAAUAGACAUAUGUUCAACAUCCAAAGCUGCAACAAAUGAAAAAAGAUCACAAAAAAACCAUUUACAGGGUUAGUAAAUAAAACCAGAUCGACAAAUCAACAUACAAACACACCCCAACACACACCGUUAAACCAACAUCAAUCUUAUCGAAGGAUAGAAAGACAAACCUUGAUGAUGUGGAAAUUCGUUUAGGGGUUUUAUGGAGAGAAAAAAAAAAAGGAUUGCGGGUGGAUUUGGUGUGCAGUCGAAAACAGGAAGAUCGUGGACCAAAUUUAUGGAAUACUCCUUAACGCCAAUCAAUACAACAAAAAAAUACCUUUAGGUUUAGUACCCAGGCUUUCUUUUCUUUCCUUAGUGUCCUCUUAACCUCAAAUCACAAUAGCCAAAAAAAAAUAUAAAGAAACACAUGUACACAUAAAACACAUUGAAACACACAAACACGUCUAAAGUUAGAGAGAGAGAGAGAGAGAGAGAGAGAGAGAGAGAGAGAGAGAGAGAGANGAGAGAGAGAGAGAGACUUCGGUGGUGCGAAGAUGGUGCAGUGGAUCCAUAUCCAUGACUAAAAACAUGUAAAAAGAAAAUAAGAAUAUGAAUUACUUCCAGUGACAAUAAAAUGACGACGGGAACAAAAACUUCAAAAUUACUAACCCAAAAAUAAAGAUGAUAAAUCGGAUCAACAUACAUUCUCAAACAGUGGUGGUGAAUGUCGUUAGUAAGGGAAAGGAAGGUGGAGGGGAAAUAGUUCUGACGACGGUGAUUAGUGGUGAGAAAGGGUUUCUAGAUCCAAUCUACAGUGGUGAAGGUCGUGGAGGCGAUAAAGAGUUGUGGUAGAAGGCGAAAGGAGACAGAGCCAAUGUGGUGGUGGUAGGAAUUCCAUAGUUGGGGUUUCUUUGACUGAUAGAGAGAUAGAGAGAAUGAAUCCAAAUAUAAAUCAUAUUUAGUGUUGUGUUGACCAAUUCAAUAGCCUGAAGACAAG